UACGUAGGGCGCAAGCGUUGUCCGGAAUUAUUGGGCGUAAAGAGCUCGUAGGCGGUCUGUCGCGUCGGAUGUGAAAGCCCGGGGCUUAACCCCGGGUCUGCAUUCGAUACGGGCAGACUAGAGUGUGGUAGGGGAGAUCGGAAUUCCUGGUGUAGCGGUGAAAUGCGCAGAUAUCAGGAGGAACACCGGUGGCGAAGGCGGAUCUCUGGGCCAUUACUGACGCUGAGGCACGAAGGCCAGGGGAGCAAACGGG
rnacentral:rRNA from 1 species